rnacentral:rRNA from 1 species
GUGAGGAAUAUUGGGCAAUGGGCGCAAGCCUGACCCAGCAACGCCGCGUGAAGGAAGACGGUCUUCGGAUUGUAAACUUCUUUUGUCAGGGACGAAUAAUGACGGUACCUGGCGAAUAAGCCACGGCUAACUACGUGCCAGCAGCCGCGGUAAUACGUAGGUGGCAAGCGUUGUCCGGAUUUACUGGGUGUAAAGGGCGAGUAGGCGGAUUUGCAAGUCAGGUGUGAAAGCCCGGGGCUUAACCCCGGGUCUGCAUUUGAAACUGCGGAUCUUGAGUAUCGGAGAGGCAGGCGGAAUUCCCGGUGUAGCGGUGGAAUGCGUAGAUAUCGGGAGGAACACCAGUGGCGAAGGCGGCCUGCUGGACGACAACUGACGCUGAGGAGCGAAAGCGUGGGGAGCAAACAGGAUUAGAUACCCGAGUAGUCC